rnacentral:misc_RNA from 1 species
AAGUCGUAACAAGGUUUCCGUAGGUGAACCUGCGGAAGGAUCAUUAACACGUAUCCAAACGUAAAAAACCCCCCCCGUGAACAUUCAUCCUGCUCUUGUAACCCGCGAAGCUUGCAAUCUCUGGUAAAUCAUAGCCCGGAAAGUAGUUUUGAUUCAGAGACCUCUGGCCCGUGAGAUUCUUUGAGACGUUACAAUUUGAGCGGUAGUUCUAUAGGCCUUGUUUCCCCAAGCAGUCAGUGUCUGAAAGUGUCAUUGAUUGUGCAAGGAUAACGCUUCACGAUUCUUGUAGACCGCAUCUCGCGGGCAGGAGCUAGGCCAAAGGGUCCCCAUGCCCCCUUACAACCCCACAGUUUAAUGUGAAGCUCAAUGUAAUACAUUGGGUAAAAAAACCGAACAACUGUUAACAAUGGAUAUCUUGGUUCUC